AUGACAGCAAUGAGGAACCAACCAAAGCAGCAUUUUCGCUUGUCAUUGCAUUUAUAUUUCAGAAACCUUGAAACAGGCAUACCCAUAAACUGUCUACAGGCUGUGGACACACGUAAAAGGAAUUUAGCCAUUCAUGAUUCCACGUAUCUUUUUUUCAUCUAUGUGUACCGUAUCCCUCACAUAAUAACCUCUGUCUCAUUGAAUUGGAUGGAGCAGGUCCAGAUGUGCAGCAGUCCAGCAGCAGAGUCAUGGAGUAUUGGGGUGACGUGGAUCAGAGGAUCCCACAGGAUCCCAGAAUGCAUAUGGACAUGAACUCAGAUGAUGAAGACUACAGUGGAGAAUCCUCAGGGAAGGAGGCCUCUACACAAAAAUACAUUCAGAGAGUGUAAUAUGUGGAAUGACACUGGUGGUACAGAGGUUAUUCAUUAAGCUGGGAUCAGGACUGAUGUUGUGGAAUAGAAAUCUACAGCCUUGCCAACCUUUUUUUGUAUACUGAACAAAUCUAUUGUCUCAGACUAUGAUUAAAUUAUCUUCAUUCAUACAUUCAUGCGUGGUGGUGUCCCUUAUAUUUCCUUAAAACCAAGUUUGUCUGUUGGCCAGUCAACCAAUUACAUAUUGUUCCAAUCACUGGCAUUUUUAUGUAGCCACCAAGUCAAGAAUUUGGUUUAUGACCAAUUAUGGCAAAACAUCCCAUCAGCCUCAGUUGCAAUUUGUGUUAAUGUGCUAAUAGGAAAGUGUUAGCAUUAUCAUUCUAGUUAAAGCAUUUAGAUCAAAAUACUCCUGUGCUGCCAUGCUGCCAGCGUUUUCUCCUUUACACACAAACUUGCAUAUUUCUUUUUACCAAAUGAUUUUUUAUUCAGAUUACCAGGCUACACUCCAGAAACUAUAUAACAAAAUAAAGAGUAAAUUAAAAAAUUUAAAUAAAAAAUUUAAAUAUUAAAAUGCAGCUGCUGCUACUUUUUACAGCUGUUCAGAAACCGUGCUCUCAGAUGGUGGUGGGAGAGGUACACAUUGUAGAUUGAUGUAUAUUGUGUAAUAUUCUGCUGGAGGUGAAUGUUCUGAAUUCAGAACUUAGUUUAAGUAAAAUUAUAUAAUUUUAAAAAAAUCUAAAUAUACUAAAAAGAACCAAAGUAAAGUACCUGUUCCAACUUAUUAUUGAAGAAAUGUUGAUUUCCUUGCUGAAGGUGGAGAUCAUUUAAACUGUGCAGUACCAAGCACUACUUGGUACAAUCCAUAAUAAUAUACUAGUUACUAGCACAUUGUAUUUUGUAGUAGUAUAGUUGUUUUUCUAACUUUGCGGCCGCUCACACAUUGCUCAGCAAUGAUUGGCAGCUUCUAAGAACUCACACUUCAGUUGAAGUCGUUGGUUAACUUGAAGACAGACUUCUCUGUGGUGUGUUUUAUUAUUAUGUAAACUGUUCUACUGUCACAACAGUGUUAAAAAAUGUCAUCAUCUGUAAGGAACACACUCAGACGGCCUCAGCAGCUUACAGUGUG
rnacentral:lncRNA from 1 species